rnacentral:tRNA from 1 species
UAGCUCAGUUGGUAGAGCAUGAGACUUUUAAUCUCAGGGUCGUGGGUUCAAGUCCCACGUUGGGUG